rnacentral:rRNA from 1 species
AGUGAACGCUGGCGGUAGGCCUAACACAUGCCAGUCGAACGGCAGCACAGUAAGAGCUUGCUCUUACGGGUGGCGAGUGGCGGACGGGUGAGGAAUACAUCGGAAUCUACUUUUUUGUGGGGGAUAACGUAGGGAAACUUACGCUAAUACCGCAUACGACCUACGGGUGAAUGCAGGGGAUCUUCGGACCUUGCGCGAUUGAAUGAGCCGAUGUCGGAUUAGCUAGUUGGCGGGGUAAAGGCCCACCAAGGCGACGAUCCGUAGCUGGUCUGAGAGGAUGAUCAGCCACACUGGAACUGAGACACGGUCCAGACUUCUACGGGAGGCAGCAGUGGGGAAUAUUGGACAAUGGGCGCAAGCCUGAUCCAGCCAUACCGCGUGGGUGAAGAAGGCCUUCGGGUUGUAAAGCCCUUUUGUUGGGAAAGAAAAGCAGCAGGUUAAUACCCCGCUGUUCUGACGGUACCCAAAGAAUAAGCACCGGCUAACUUCGUG